rnacentral:rRNA from 1 species
CCUACGUGAGGCAGCAGUAGGGAAUCUUCCACAAUGGGCGAAAGCCUGAUGGAGCAACGCCGCGUGGGUGAAGAAGGUCUUCGGAUCGUAAAACCCUGUUGUUAGAGAAGACAGUGCGUGAGAGUAACUGUUCACGUUUCGACGGUAUCUACCCAGAACGCAACGGCUAACUACGUGCCAGCAGCCGCGGUAAUACGUAGGUGGCAAGCGUUAUCCGGAUUUAUUGGGCUUAAAGGGAACGGAGGCGGUCUUUUAAGUCUGAUGUGAAAGCCUUCGGCUUAACCGGAGUAGUGCAUUGGAAACUGGGAGACUUGAGUGCAGAAGAGGAGAGUGGAACGCCAUGUGGAGCGGUGAAAUGCGUAGAUAUAUGGAAGAAAACCAGUGGCGAAAGCGGCUCUCUGGUCUGUAACUGACGCUGAGGUUCGAAAGCGUGGGUAGCAAACAGGAUUAGAUACCCUUGUAGUC